AUACACGUCGCGACAUUUCUUACUCCGCUCCGCUAUUUUCGCGAAUAUUAUCGUCUAGAAAUGCGAAUCUUGUGCAAAAGAUCACAAAUAUUUGUCUCGCAAAGUAAACGAGUUUGUCGUAACGUAACAAACAAUCGUUCUUAUACGUAAAUAUGAUUUCGGCGAUCCGCUUUCUGUGUAACGGUUAUGUUGAAACGCGUCAUUUUCGCAAAUGUUACUGCCUAAAAAAUGUGAAUCUUUCGCGAGUGUUUCUGAAAACGCGUUUUCGAUGUAGUGUGUUAAGUAUCACCUAAAAUCGUUAUUAUACGCCAGUAUCAGGAUUCCAGAAAUCCCUCUUUAUGUACAUUCCGAAUCGAUCGAGAUCUUCGCACAUUCCAUCUUGCCUUGCCGUUUGCAUCAAAAGUACAACGAUCAUUGCCAGAUAACAAUAUGGAAGGAAGCUGUCUAAUAAGAAGCGACGAGACAACAUAAGGAUAAGCUGGCAUUUCCGCAUGGCUUUCACCUUUUGCAACGAGCGGAGAGUGUGUGCGUACGAGCAGGUUGCCGUAAUGGCACCUGGAAUAACAAUGCCUCGGCUUUAGCGCCAUAGAGUUGUUCUGGCCGCGGGGAUCUGC